GACCAAGCGUACACGGUGGAUGCCCUGGCAGUCAGAGGCGAUGAAGGACGUGCUAAUCUGCGAAAAGCGCCGGUAAGGUGAUAUGAACCGUUAUAACCGGCGAUGUCCGAAUGGGGAAACCCAGUGUGACUCGUCACACUAUCAUUAACUGAAUCCAUAGGUUAAUGAGGCGAACCGGGGGAACUGAAACAUCUAAGUACCCCGAGGAAAAGAAAUCAACCGAGAUUCCCCCAGUAGCGGCGAGCGAACGGGGAGGAGCCCAGAGCCUGAAUCAGCAUGUGUGUUAGUGGAAGCGUCUGGAAAGGCGCGCGAUACAGGGUGAGAGCCCCGUACACAAAAGCGCACAUGCUGUGAGCUCGAUGAGUAGGGCGGGACACGUGGUAUCCUGUCUGAAUAUGGGGGGACCAUCCUCCAAGGCUAAAUACUCCUGACUGACCGAUAGUGAACCAGUACCGUGAGGGAAAGGCGAAAAGAACCCCGGCGAGGGGAGUGAAACAGAACCUGAAACCGUGUACGUACAAGCAGUGGGAGCCCCACCACUAAGCCAGUGGUGAACUCCACAUACGCAUCCUUUGCGGAAGAUGCGGUUAACGGAGCGAAAGCGACGUUCAACCUCAGAAGAAGCAGAGGGGGCUUAGUGGUGGGGUGACUGCGUACCUUUUGUAUAAUGGGUCAGCGACUUAUAUUCUGUAGCAAGGUUAACCGCAUAGGGGAGCCGAAGGGAAACCGAGUCUUAACCGGGCGUUAAGUUGCAGGGUAUAGACCCGAAACCCGGUGAUCUAGCCAUGGGCAGGUUGAAGGUUGGGUAACACUAACUGGAGGACCGAACCGACUAAUGUUGAAAAAUUAGCGGAUGACCUGUGGCUGGGGGUGAAAGGCCAAUCAAACCGGGAGAUAGCUGGUUCUCCCCGAAAGCUAUUUAGGUAGCGCCUCGUGAACUCAUCUCCGGGGGUAGAGCACUGUUUCGGCUAGGGGGCCAUCCCGGCUUACCAACCCGAUGCAAACUGCGAAUACCGGAGAAUGUUAUCACGGGAGACACACGGCGGGUGCUAACGUCCGUCGUGAAGAGGGAAACAACCCAGACCGCCAGCUAAGGUCCCAAAGUCAUGGUUAAGUGGGAAACGAUGUGGGAAGGCCCAGACAGCCAGGAUGUUGGCUUAGAAGCAGCCAUCAUUUAAAGAAAGCGUAAUAGCUCACUGGUCGAGUCGGCCUGCGCGGAAGAUGUAACGGGGCUAAACCAUGCACCGAAGCUGCGGCAGCGACACUUUAGUGUUGUUGGGUAGGGGAGCGUUCUGUAAGCCGUUGAAGGUGUCCUGU
rnacentral:rRNA from 1 species